rnacentral:rRNA from 1 species
AAACUGCUUUUAUACGGGAAGAACACCCAUCCUCGGAUGGAUCUGACGGUACCGUACGAAUAAGGACCGGCUAACUCCGUGCCAGCAGCCGCGGUAAUACGGAGGGUCCAAGCGUUGUCCGGAAUCACUGGGUGUAAAGGGUGCGCAGGCGGGCGUGUAAGUCAGGGGUGAAAGCCACCGGCCUAACCGGUGAACUGCCCUUGAUACUGCACGUCUUGAGUCCCGGAGAGGCUAUCGGAAUUCGUGGUGUAGCGGUGAAAUGCGUAAAUAUCACGAGGAACACCUGAAGCGUAGGCGGAUAGCUAGACGGGUACUGACGCUCAGGCACGAAAGCGUGGGUAGCGAACAGGAUUAGAUACCCUGGUAGUCCACGCCGUAAACGAUGGAUGCUCGAUGUUGCACCGCCUUAGGUGCAGUGUCCAAGCUAACGCGUUAAGCAUCCCACCUGGGGAGUACGAUCGCAAGGUUGAACUCA